UUGGAAUAGGGGAUAUCUCAGC
rnacentral:miRNA from 2 species